GCCCGGUGCUGGAAGGUUAAAAGGAGAUGUGCAAGCAUUGAAUUGAAGCCCCAGUGAACGGCGGCCGUAACUAUAACGGUCCUAAGGUAGCGAAAUUCCUUGUCAGGUAAGUUCUGACCCGCAUGAAAGGCGUAAUGAUUUGGGCACUGUCUCAACAGCCCGCCCGGCGAAAUUGUAGUACCGGUGAAGAUGCCGGUUACCCGCGACAAGACGGAAAGACCCCAUGGAGCUUUACUGUAGCCUAAUAUUGGGUUUCGAUGUUGCAUGCACAGGAUAGAUGGGACUCUGGGAAACCAAGGCUUUGGCUUUGGCGGAGAGGCCGUUGGGAUACCAUCCUUGCGAUAUUGGAAUUCUAACCUGCGGCUCUGAAUCGAGUCGGGGGACAUUGUUAGGUGGGCAGUUUGACUGGGGCGGUCGCCUCCUAAAGAGUAACGGAGGCGUUCAAAGGUUCGCUCAGCUUGAACGGAAAUCAAGCAAAAGAGUGCAAACGCAGAAGCGAGCCUAACUGCGAGACUGACGGGUCGAGCAGUAACGAAAGUUGGAGUUAGUGAUCCGGUGGUAUGUGAGUGGAAAUGCCAUCGCUCAACGGAUAAAAGUUACCCUGGGGAUAACAGGCUGAUCUCCCCCAAGAGUCCACAUCGACGGGGAGGUUUGGCACCUCGAUGUCGGCUCAUCGCAUCCUGGGGCUGUAUUCGGUCCCAAGGGUUUGGCUGUUCGCCAAUUAAAGCGGUACGCGAGCUGGGUUCAGAACGUCGUGAGACAGUUCGGUCCCUAUCUGUCGUGGGCGCAGGAUAUUUGAUGGGAGCUGUCCCUAGUACGAGAGGACCGGGACGGACGUACCUCUGGCGCACCAGUUGUUCCGCCAGGAGCAUAGCUGGGCAACUACGUACGGAUCGGAUAAACGCUGAAAGCAUCUAAGCGUGAAGCCGACCCAAAGAUAAGAUAUCCCACUGAUUCAAUCAGGUAAGAUCCCUUGUAGACUACGAGGUUGAUAGGCACGAUGUGUAAGUGGAGCGAUCCAUUCAGCAAGUGUGUACUAAUAGAUCGAGGGCUUGACCAC
rnacentral:rRNA from 1 species